GCGAAUUGCUACGAUAUCAUUAUAAUGCCCAACCUUAGUGCUGAUCGCCGUGCCAGUUUCGUCGUAAAAAGGUGACAAAUCGGUAGCAGCAGGUUAUUUUUU
rnacentral:ncRNA from 3 species